AUGAACGCUAGCUACAGGCUUAACACAUGCAAGUCGAGGGGCAGCAUUUUAGUUUGCUUGCAAACUGAAGAUGGCGACCGGCGCACGGGUGAGUAACACGUAUCCAACCUGCCGAUAACUCCGGAAUAGCCUUUCGAAAGAAAGAUUAAUACCGGAUAGCAUACGAAUAUCGCAUGAUAUUUUUAUUAAAGAAUUUCGGUUAUCGAUGGGGAUGCGUUCCAUUAGUUUGUUGGCGGGGUAACGGCCCACCAAGACUACGAUGGAUAGGGGUUCUGAGAGGAAGGUCCCCCACAUUGGAACUGAGACACGGUCCAAACUCCUACGGGAGGCAGCAGUGAGGAAUAUUGGUCAAUGGGCGAGAGCCUGAACCAGCCAAGUAGCGUGAAGGAUGAAGGCUCUAUGGGUCGUAAACUUCUUUUAUAUGGGAAUAAAGUUUUCCACGUGUGGAAUUUUGUAUGUACCAUAUGAAUAAGGAUCGGCUAACUCCGUGCCAGCAGCCGCGGUAAUACGGAGGAUCCGAGCGUUAUCCGGAUUUAUUGGGUUUAAAGGGAGCGUAGGUGGAUUGUUAAGUCAGUUGUGAAAGGUUGCGGCUCAACCGUAAAAUUGCAGUUGAAACUGGCAGUCUUGAGUACAGUAGAGGUGGGCGGAAUUCGUGGUGUAGCGGUGAAAUGCUUAGAUAUCACGAAGAACUCCGAUUGCGAAGGCAGCUCACUAGACUGUCACUGACACUGAUGCUCGAAAGUGUGGGUAUCAAACAGGAUUAGAUACCCUGGUAGUCCACACAGUAAACGAUGAAUACUCGCUGUUUGCGAUAUACAGUAAGCGGCCAAGCGAAAGCAUUAAGUAUUCCACCUGGGGAGUACGCCGGCAACGGUGAAACUCAAAGGAAUUGACGGGGGCCCGCACAAGCGGAGGAACAUGUGGUUUAAUUCGAUGAUACGCGAGGAACCUUACCCGGGCUUAAAUUGCAACAGAAUAUAUUGGAAACAGUAUAGCCGUAAGGCUGUUGUGAAGGUGCUGCAUGGUUGUCGUCAGCUCGUGCCGUGAGGUGUCGGCUUAAGUGCCAUAACGAGCGCAACCCUUAUCUUUAGUUACUAACAGGUUAUGCUGAGGACUCUAGAGAGACUGCCGUCGUAAGAUGUGAGGAAGGUGGGGAUGACGUCAAAUCAGCACGGCCCUUACGUCCGGGGCUACACACGUGUUACAAUGGGGGGUACAGAAGGCGGCUACCUGGUGACAGGAUGCUAAUCCCAAAAACCUCUCUCAGUUCGGAUCGAAGUCUGCAACCCGACUUCGUGAAGCUGGAUUCGCUAGUAAUCGCGCAUCAGCCAUGGCGCGGUGAAUACGUUCCCGGGCCUUGUACACACCGCCCGUCAAGCCAUGAAAGCCGGGGGUACCUGAAGUACGUAACCGCAAGGAGCGUCCUAGGGUAAAACUGGUAAUUGGGG
rnacentral:rRNA from 1 species